GAUGAACGCUGGCGGCGUGCCUAGUACAUGCAAGUCGAGCGAAUGGAUUAAGAGCUUGCUCUUAUGAAGUUAGCGGCGGACGGGUGAGUAACACGUGGGUAACCUGCCCAUAAGACUGGGAUAACUCCGGGAAACCGGGGCUAAUACCGGAUAACAUUUUGAACCGCAUGGUUCGAAAUUGAAAGGCGGCUUCGGCUGUCACUUAUGGAUGGACCCGCGUCGCAUUAGCUAGUUGGUGAGGUAGCGGCUCACCAAGGCAACGAUGCGUAGCCGACCUGAGAGGGUGAUCGGCCACACUGGGACUGAGACACGGCCAAGACUCCUACGGGAGGCAGCAGUAGGGACUCUUCCGCAAUGGACGAAAGUCUGACGGAGCAACGCCGCGUGAGUGAUGAAGGCUUUCGGGUCGUAAAACUCUGUUGUUAGGGAAGAACAAGUGCUAGUUGAAUAAGCUGGCACCUUGACGGUACCUAACCAGAAAGCCACGGCUAACUACGUGCCAGCCGCCGCAGUAA
rnacentral:rRNA from 1 species